UGNCNAUAAUGCAGUCGAACGAACCAUCCUGAAGAUUGAAGCUUGCUUCAUGAUUCAGACCUUGGUGAGUGGCGGACGGGUGAGUAACACGUGGGUAACCUGCCCAAAAGUGGGGGAUAACAUCUGGAAACAGGUGCUAAUACCGCAUAACAACUACUUUCUCAUGAUCGUAGCUUGAAAGAUGGCUCUGCUAUCGCUUUUGGAUGGACCCGCGGCGUAUUAGCUAGUUGGUGAGGUAAUAGCUCACCAAGGCAAUGAUACGUAGCCGACCUGAGAGGGUAAUCGGCCACAUUGGGACUGAGACACGGCCCAAACUCCUACGGGAGGCAGCAGUAGGGAAUCUUCCACAAUGGGCGAAAGCCUGAUGGAGCAAUGCCGCGUGAGUGAAGAAGGUUUUCGGAUCGUAAAACUCUGUUGUUGAAGAAGAACAUGCGUGAGAGUAACUGUUCACGUACUGACGGUAUUCAACCAGAAAGCCACGGCUAACUACGUGCCAGCAGCCGCGGUAAUACGUAGGUGGCAAGCGUUGUCCGGAUUUAUUGGGCGUAAAGAGAAUGUAGGCGGUUUAUUAAGUUUGAAGUGAAAGCCCUCGGCUCAACCGAGGAAGUGCUUCGAAAACUGGUAAACUUGAGUGCAGAAGAGGAAAGUGGAACUCCAUGUGUAGCGGUGGAAUGCGUAGAUAUAUGGAAGAACACCAGUGGCGAAGGCGGCUUUCUGGUCUGUAACUGACGCUGAGAUUCGAAAGCAUGGGUAGCAAACAGGAUUAGAUACCCUGGUAGUCCAUGCCGUAAACGAUGAGUGCUAAGUGUUGGAGGGUUUCCGCCCUUCAGUGCUGCAGCUAACGCAUUAAGCACUCCGCCUGGGGAGUACGAUCGCAAGAUUGAAACUCAAAGGAAUUGACGGGGGCCCGCACAAGCGGUGGAGCAUGUGGUUUAAUUCGAAGCAACGCGAAGAACCUUACCAGGUCUUGACAUACCAUGAAAAGCUAAGAGAUUAGUCUUUCCCUUCGGGGACAUGGAUACAGGUGGUGCAUGGUUGUCGUCAGCUCGUGUCGUGAGAUGUUGGGUUAAGUCCCGCAACGAGCGCAACCCUUAUUAUCAGUUGCCAGCAUUCAGUUGGGCACUCUGGUGAGACUGCCGGUGACAAACCGGAGGAAGGUGGGGACGACGUCAAAUCAUCAUGCCCCUUAUGACCUGGGCUACACACGUGCUACAAUGGUCGGUACAACGUGCUGCGAACUCGCGAGGGUAAGCAAAUCACUUAAAACCGAUCUCAGUUCGGAUUGUAGGCUGCAACUCGCCUACAUGAAGCUGGAAUCGCUAGUAAUCGCGGAUCAGCAUGCCGCGGUGAAUACGUUCCCGGGCCUUGUACACACCGCCCGUCACACCAUGAGAGUUUGUAACACCCAAAGUCGGUGGGGUAACCCUUCGGGAACUAGCCGCNUANUNGNGA
rnacentral:rRNA from 2 species